AGCAGUAGCCGCGGUAAUACGUAGGGUGCGAGCGUUAAUCGGAAUUACUGGGCGUAAAGCGUGCGCAGGCGGUUAUAUAAGACAGAUGUGAAAUCCCCGGGCUCAACCUGGGACCUGCAUUUGUGACUGUAUAGCUAGAGUACGGUAGAGGGGGAUGGAAUUCCGCGUGUAGCAGUGAAAUGCGUAGAUAUGCGGAGGAACACCGAUGGCGAAGGUAAUCCCCUGGACCUGUACUGACGCUCAUGCACGAAAGCGUGGGGAGCAAACAGGAUUAGAUACCCGCGUAGUCCCUGUCUCUUAUAC
rnacentral:rRNA from 1 species